CGAUGGGGAAGUAGUACUUGUACUAUGGUAACCAUGGCGGACGGGUGAGUAACGCGUAAAGAACUUACCUUUAGGACAGGGAUAACAGAGGGAAACUUCUGAUAAGACUUGAUAUAAUUAUGUAGUUGCAUGACUGUAUAAUGAAAAGGGAUGCCUAGAGAGAGCUUUGCGUCCUAUUAGUUAGUUGGUGUGGUAAAGGCAUACCAAGGCGAUGAUAGGUAGCCGGCCUGAGAGGGUGGACGGCCACAAGGGGACUGAGAUACGGCCCUUACUCUUACGGGAGGCAGCAGUGGGGAAUAUUGGACAAUGGAGGAGACUCUGAUCCAGCAAUUCUGUGUGCACGAAGAAGGUUUUCGGAUUGUAAAGUGCUUUCAACAGGGAAGAAGAAAGUGACGGUACCUGUAGAAGAAGCGACGGCUAAAUACGUGCCAGCAGCCGCGGUAAUACGUAUGUCGCGAGCGUUAUCCGGAAUUAUUGGGCAUAAAGGGCAUCUAGGCGGCAUAGCAAGUCAGGGGUGAAAACUUGUGGCUCAACCAUAAGCUUGCCUUUGAAACUGUGAUGCUAGAGUAUUGGAAAGGUGGGCCGGAACUACACCGAGUAGAGGUGAAAUUCGUAGAUAUGUGUAGGAAUGCCCGAUGAUGAAGAUAGCUCACUGGACGAUAACUGACGCUGAAGUGCGAGAAGCUA
rnacentral:rRNA from 1 species